AGUGAUUGGUGUUCAUGCAACUGGAAAUGCAAUACGGCAGGCACACGCAGCAGUACAACCUGUGGGCAAUAAAAGAAUAGCAAAACUGUUGAUUAUUAUUUCCAGCUAAGACUGUCAUUUUAUGUCAUAUAGACACAUUGCUGACCUACCAAACAAACUCUUAGUCUUAUCAUAGAUAAGAAUGUCGUACUUUAUCUUUAACUUUACCUGUAUUGUGAUUCAUAAAUUCAUAUGCGUACAAUACGAUAUUCUAGAACACUUUCUUGUAUGAUAUAUGUAGAAGUUACCGAUUUUAUGUUAUAAUUUAUCCGAGUAAAUGGAGCUUUUUCUGUGUCGCGUGCACAAA